rnacentral:rRNA from 1 species
ACUGAACGCUGGCGGCAUGCCUAACACAUGCAAGUCGAACGGAUGCAGCAAUGCAUCAGUGGCGGACGGGUGAGUAACACGUGGGAAUCUACCCAGUAGCUCGGAAUAACCGCGGGAAACUGCGGCUAAUACCGAACACGCCCCGAGGGGGAAAGGAGCAAUCCACUGUUGGAGGAGCCCGCGUCCGAUUAGCUAGUUGGUGAGGUAACGGCUCACCAAGGCGAUGAUCGGUAGCUGGUUUGAGAGAACGACCAGCCACACUGGGACUGCGACACGGCCCAGACUCCUACGGGAGGCAGCAGUGGGGAAUAUUGGACAAUGGGGGAAACCCUGAUCCAGCAAUGCCGCGUGGGUGAUGAAGGCCUUCGGGUUGUAAAGCCCUUUUGGCGGGGACGAUGAUGACGGUACCCGCAGAAGAAGCCCCGGCUAACUUCGUGCCAGCCGCCGCCGUAAGAC